UACGUAGGGGGCAAGCGUUAUCCGGAUUCACUGGGCUUAAAGGGUGCGUAGGCGGGCAGGUAAGUCAGUGGUGAAAUCUCCAAGCUUAACUUGGAAACUGCCGUUGAUACUAUCUGUCUUGAAUAUUGUGGAGGUGAGCGGAAUAUGUCAUGUAGCGGUGAAAUGCUUAGAUAUGACAUAGAACACCAGUUGCGAAGGCAGCUCACUGCACAAUCAUUGACGCUGAGGCACGAAAGCGUGGGGAUCAAACAGG
rnacentral:rRNA from 1 species